rnacentral:rRNA from 1 species
UACAGAGGGUGCGAGCGUUGUCCGGAAUCACUGGGCGUAAAGGGCGCGUAGGUGGCCUGGUAAGUAGGGGGUGAAAUCUCGCGGCUCAACUGCGAGGCUGCCUCCUAAACUGUCAGGCUCGAGCAGAGUAGAGGCAGGUGGAAUUCCCGGUGUAGCGGUGGAAUGCGUAGAGAUCGGGAAGAACAUCGGUGGCGAAGGCGGCCUGCUGGGCUCUUGCUGACACUGAGGCGCGACAGCGUGGGGAGCAAACAGG